CCCUUAGAUGUUCUGGGCCGCACGCGCGCUACACUGAUACGUUCAGCGAGUAUAUAACCUUGAUUGGAAAAUCUGGGUAAUCUUUUGAAUGCGUAUCGUGCUAGGGAUAGAUUAUUGCAAUUAUUAAUCCUGAACGAGGAAUUCCUAGUAAACGCAAGUCAUCAGCUUGCAUUGAUUACGUCCCUGCCCUUUGUACACACCGUCUGUCGCACAAACCGAUUGAAUGAUUCGGUGAAAAUUUUGGACAUCGAGAGUGGUGAUUAAUUUCGCUGCUCUUAAAUGGAAAGAAUUUAAACCUAAUUAUUUAGAGGAUUGUGAAGUCAUAACA
rnacentral:rRNA from 1 species